rnacentral:rRNA from 1 species
CCUACGGGGGGCAGCAGUGGGGAAUAUUGGACAAUGGGCGAAAGCCUGAUCCAGCCAUGCCGCGUGUGUGAAGAAGGCCUUCGGGUUGUAAAGCACUUUCAGUGGGGAAGAAAGCCUUGGGGCUAAUACCCUCGAGGAAGGACAUCACCCACAGAAGAAGCACCGGCUAACUCCGUGCCAGCAGCCGCGGUAAUACGGAGGGUGCGAGCGUUAAUCGGAAUUACUGGGCGUAAAGAGCGCGUAGGCGGUCUGAUAAGCCGGUUGUGAAAGCCCCGGGCUCAACCUGGGAACGGCAUCCGGAACUGUCAGGCUAGAGUGCAGGAGAGGAAGGUAGAAUUCCCGGUGUAGCGGUGAAAUGCGUAGAGAUCGGGAGGAAUACCAGUGGCGAAGGCGGCCUUCUGGACUGACACUGACGCUGAGGUGCGAAAGCGUGGGUAGCAAACAGGAUUAGAUACCCCAGUAGUC